CACGGCUCCAUCUCCGAACCCCGCACUCACAACUGUGAACUCAACCCACGAAAUUGCGACUGCAGACCAACUUCGUCCUUUCCAAGGAACCAAGACUCCUUGGAUAAGUGGCUGAUUCCAGAGGUAUAGCAGAUAAAGUAUAAGGUCUUCAGAAUGAGAGAAGAUAUGCCAAAGACUUUUUAUCUAUACCUGUUCCUGUUAUGAUGAUGAAAUCCUGGACUACUAGAC